CCCAGGCAUGUGCCGCCACGACGCCGCCCAGGAUAUCGGCGCUGCCGAGCAAAUCUGGGUCCGCUUCACAUAAUGCAUCAGUCAGGUCAUCGACGCGUUCCAUAUUAGGCACUGCGUCAGAACGCAGAUUAGCGACGUAAUCAAGCCCUUGCUUGAGGCGAGAUUCAAGAGUUGGUGCAACACGAGCCCGUCUUGGUGGCAUUUCAAUUGGGAGAAUUGCAGAGGUGCACAGGCAAUAAAGGUUACAGACUCGUUGACACAGAACUCGUUCAAGUGUGGCACUGUAGCUAGCUGGUAUGCUUUUCUAAUACUGCAUCUAGGAAAUAAUUACACCAUGCAACUGUCACAUCAACGAGCACCGUCAAGGCUAAGGAUCGCACCGCGCAUCGUGGCCCCUGCCCCUGCCCCUGCCCCACUGCCCCUGCCCCUGCACCUGCACCUGCCCCUGCCCCUGCCCCUGCCCCUGCCCCUGCCCCUGCCCCUGCCCCUGCCCCUGCCCCUGCCCCUGCCCCUGCCCCUGCCCCUGCCCCUGCCCCUGCCCCUGCCCCUGCCCCUGCCCCUGCCCCUGCCCCUGCCCCUGCCCCUGCCCCUGCCCCUGCCCCUGCCCCUGCCCCUGCCCCUGCCCCUGCCCCUGCCCCUGCCCCUGCCCCUGCCCCUGCCCCUGCCCCUGCCCCUGCCCCUGCCCCUGCGCCGUGGCUGCGGUGAUGGUGGCGUGCAUGUGCGUAGCGGAGGGGCUACACAAGAUGACAAGGCCACGUGGAGGAGGAGUGCGUGGCGCUGCCCAAGAAGCGGCGCCGGCGCGCAGGUUCAGACCUGCCGGUGUCUGGUUUGCAGUCUUUGCUGGCGAGCAUAGGCGCAUAGCAUGGCACGGUGUGUGGGUGAAUGUAUUGCUGUUGGUUUGUUGCCUGCUGUGCUUGUGCUUGACAGCGAGACGCGGCUGGAUGCAUGGCAGGCCCAUGCCUGCACGAACCGACCCCGGCUAUGUCCAAGAGAUCAGGUAGUUUCGAUACCUUCAGCCUUAGACAUUGCUCAAGGUGGCGUGUGUAGGCUCAGCCCAAUCUUCCCUUGAGAGAAAUAGCCAUCGUUGUGUACAAACCUGUACGAUCCUGACACCCCUUGUCCUGCGCCAAGUCCCCCAUCGCCGCUGUCACCGCCAUCGUGAACGCAGUCCUGCCCAACGCAAUCCGUGCCGGUUUCUUGUAGAUGCCCUUGGGCUCGCGGCAUCUACACAGUGUAGAUGAACCCUCCCGCGGCAUCUACGCCCGGAAACUUUCACCUAGGGGAGUAGGGGGGCAAGCCCUCCCCCCAACCCCCCAAAACGUCUACGAUACCGCUAGAUCCGCGCCAAGAACGUCUGCGCGCCGUAGAUGCGCGGCCCCCAAUACCAAAACGAAAUCUUCCUUCUGCCUUCGGCGGAUUUUGGGGAGACCUCUACAGACUACAGCGCAGAUGGGAAAUACGGCCACCGAACGCACUCCGAGCGCACCAGGAUGGCCGUAUCUGACCGUCUUCAGCCGGCCCCCAACCGCAGGCCCAAGCCACAUGCUGACAUGCCGUACGGUAAACACCCAUGGGGGCACCCCUGGUAACACUAGACUCCCAAACUCGAAAUGCACCAUGACACCAUUAAUACACAUCUCCCCAGCAGGUCUCCCCCGAGAUGCCCCCUUCACAUGCUCACAACAAACAUUUCAUUAGCGCCGCCGGCAUCACGUCCCAGUAACUCAUGUGUGACAUGACGGUCAAAUCAAUCAUAGAACACUACAUCGGCAAUAGCUGAUCACAGACGACCGCGACUCAAUCAAGGCUUGCCUCCGGCCUGUGCCUUCCCUUCACCGGCGGCCCUUUGCCGGUUUGGGAGACUUUCUGGGGUUCCUCCUCCGCUUUGGGGAGGGCGCCGGCUUGGAUGAGGGUGACGGCUUGGGUGCAGGUGAUGAUGAAGGCGCAAGCGCCGGAGUCGGCGAGGGCUUUGGUGCUGCAUGUGGGGCAGGCGCAGCCGAGGGCGUUGGCGAUGCGCGUGGCGAGGAGCUGGGUCGGGGUGAAGGGCCAGGCGCCGCCGCCGGCGCGCCCUCAAGCGCGAACGCGCCCGGCGCAUCGAAGCCGCCGCCGCGCUGCCGCCCCAACACGUCUGACAGCAACUCCGCCACCACCGCCGCACCGGGCGGCGCAAGCUGCUCCGCCGGCCAGGGCGGGAACUGCGGCAGCGGCGCCACCAGCACCCGCACCGCCGCCGCCGCGCUUGCGCUCCCCUGUUGCAGCACCAGGCCGCCCGCCGCCCACACCGCCGCCGCCAGAUGCGCCGCCUCCGCGCCGCGGCCCUCCGCUGCGGCGCCGCCCGCCCACUCCGGCUGCGCCCCCGGACCCGACCACAGGUUGUCCCGUAGCAACUGCGCCACCCGGCAUCCCGGCGGCGAGUCCUCCCCUGGCUUCAAGGCCUGCUGCGGGCAGCCGGGCUCUUCGGCGUCCUCCACCCCAAGGGCCUUAUCGGCGCCGCCGUCCCAGAACAGGUUGCCGGCAAUGACAAGGCCCUCGUCAGCGCGCGCGUAUGGGCCGGGCACGCCCCCCGCAGCCGGCUGGGGGGGCAUGAUCUGAGGCAGAGGGCGGGGUGAGGGAGACCGUGGAAAGGGUCACGGUAUAUGCCCGCCGAGCCCAAAGAAAUAGGUCCCGACUCCCGACCGUCAAGCAAUCAUCGCCCAACCCGGAAAUGAAGUGGGAGGCAGGGAGGGGGUGGUGACAAGGCGGGGAGAGGGCGGGUUGGGGGAGUUUAGCGCGCGCCGGGCAAGAAGGAAUGUGCUCAUCUGUACCGUCGUUGCGCCCAACCCGUGUGCCCACCCGCCUACGUCACGCCUCAUACCUGUAUGUGCUGCCACUGCGUGCUGUUGUCCGGCGGGUUAACAAUCAGGUUGUUGACAAACAGCACAUCGCGGCUGGGGAUGGCCACGCCGAGGUCAUCGGGCGGGUUGUCCCCCACACUGGCCGGGCCCCAGGCGCCGUAGCCGCCGCGACGCAGGGCGCGGCAGCGGGCGGCGUCGGCGUCGGCGUCGCACACGCGGCUGCCGGUGUUGAACUCCACCGCAUGUGACCUGUGUUCCGGUGCUGUUGAUCGGAUUGCAGGAGUGCGCAGGCAGUGCUAGCUAGCGGUGCUGUUGCUGUGAUCAAGGCGCGGUACCGCAAGGCUGGCUAGCUGGUGGUAGCGACGGGGCCGGAAUGUGAACGCUCCCGCCCACAUCCCUCUUGCUCACCCGUGCCGCCCAACCUCACCCAGCCUCGCCCCAUCGCCCCGCCUCGCCCACCUGCUCCCCACACGCAUCAGGGUGUUGUGCGCCAUCAGCACGUGCAGCCCGCCGUACACGCCCAGCCCCGCGCCCCACACGUCGCUGAUGAGGUUGUUGGCCACGUGUAUGUCGUACGCCUCGUACUGCACCCAGGGCUCCAGCAUGUACUGCAGGCCUGUACGGCAGUGUGCGGCGCGCCAGUGCAGCGUUGUGUGUCUUAAGUGUGUGUGGCGACAUGCUGGGCACUACCUGCCGAGAAGCCUAGCAGGGCACGCGCCAGAGCCAUGCUAAAAGCAGCCAUUGUGUGAGCAGCUACGAUUAAUCUCGACAGGGUGGACGGCAACUUCUACUCUCAGGGCAACUGAAAUGAUGUCGUUUUGCCAUCUGCGAGCCUGCACUGAAUCAUGGUUGAGUCCUAAUUUGUCUUACAUAAUCAUAGCAUCAAUUAUAAGUACAGUGUGUGCACUUAGCAUCGCACCUUGCAUUUGCAUUUAUCAUAGAACCAAAACCCGCGACAGAUCACUCCUGGUGGCCUUUCCGUGCUCCGUUUCAUUUGCUGUGUGUAUAGAAUUACGAUACACGUAUUAGUUGCCGCUGACAUGCCCAGCGCCUCGCCUCGCGCGCUCCCGCUGUCGGGGCCAGGCAUUACCUCUGCAACGCGCUGCCUUACGCGGCCGCUCUCGCGUCCAGCACCAUGCCCGGCGCAGCCUAACAGGCAUGUUGGCCAUGCUCGCGCGCAGCGCCUGCGGUGCGCUGCCUCGGGGGCACCUGGCGACGGUGGCAAGCAAGACAGCCAGUCCACCGCACCCGCGUCGAAUGGCGCGCCCCCGAUUGCACCCGCCUCCGCUCCCGGCGUCGCGCGGCGCACCGCUCUGCUAGGUGAGUCAGGCUUGUGUCGGUUGGGGCCGUGGACGCUUUGGGCGUGGGAGGGUAACAGAGGCACCGGACGCAUCCCCCGCCCAUACACGCUUGGGAAAUCGUCAUCAUUGGGGAGAGGCGAUCUCCCGCGGCUCAACGCCGCCCCCUGCUUUUAAUCACCAGGCAACUAGGCACGAGACAGAAGCCAUACGCUGUGGCAGCCUUGCCUUACGACCUUGCGCCCAACUGUCUCCGCCUGUUGACCCGUGCCCCAUGCCUUCCUUUCCCCUCCCCACUCUCUCGUGCUCCCCAGGCGCCGCCAUGCCGUGCUGUGCGUGUGUGUUUUGCGGCGGCGGCGAGGCCAAGGCCGCCGGGGGCUCGGGUGCUGGCGGCGGCCGCAACCCCCUGUACGACAGCUACUUCGCCAACGCCAUGAGGUGGGGGGCCGGUGUGUGUGUGUGUGUGUGUGUGUGUGUGUGUGUGUGUGUGUGUGUGUGUGUGGUGGGUGGGGGCACGGGGGUGGCGUGGGGCGUUGUUUCCACCAUCGCUUGAGAAGGCUGAAACCAAAAUAAGGAGACAAAAGGACGGAAACGCAAAGAGCGCGGGGUUGUGUGGAGGCGGAGGAGGGUGUGGCGUGGCGUCGCUGCUGGGAAUGGGGAAUGGAGUUGCUGGUCUGGGAGUUGGAUUGGACGGAGGCGAGCUGUGCCAGGUUUUAAGGCAAGGAGAGAGGAAUUGCAAUGGGCGGGUCUUUGUGUACCGUACACGGUUGACAAGGCAAGCACGGACCUGAUGCUCUGCCCGCUGCUGCGGCGGCACCCCAUUAACUUAGCAACGCACCUAUACACAUAACCUCAUGACCACGCACAAGCUGAUGAACACACACACACACACGCACACACACACACACACACACACACACACACACACACACACACACACACACAGGUACGCGUAAUGUUUUCCUUGUGCUCUUUAACACACACAGGUACGGCAUGGACGACUACGAGGCCGCCAUUGCGCCCGUCAAGUCGCAGCUGUUCGGCUGCCUGCUUGGCGGACUGCUGGGCGGCGGCAGUAGCAGUAGCAGUAGCAGCAGCAGCGGCAGUAGCAGUAGCAGUAGCAGCGGCAGUAGCAGUAGCAGCGGGGACCCAGUCAAGUUGCUGGAGGUGGGCAUCGGCACGGGGCCCAACUUCGACUUCUACAAAAUGGCGCUGCAGCAGCAAUCUGGAUCCGGUCUUGCUGGCGGGAGCCGGCCGGUCCACAUCGUGGGUCUGGAUCCAAAUCCGGAGAUGCUCAAAUUCGCGCGCGAGGCCGCCGUCUCGGCCGGCUUUAGCCUGCGCGAUGUGGAGCCGGCCGGCAGUAGCGGCAGUGCCGGCAGUAGCGGCAGCAGCAGCAGCGGCAGGGCGGUGGAGGUGUCACUGGUGGAGGGCGGGGUGGAGGCGCUGCCGUUCGCGGACGGCGAGUUUGAUGGCGCCGUGGUGACACUGGUGCGUGCGGGGGAGGUGUGCGGGCGGGCAGGGGCAAGGGGGGUUGUAGAUACCAGCCCAAACUAAACCAGACCCAAUGCAAUAGAGCGAGGAGGAGAGCGGGGGGGGGCAGGGGCAGCGACACAGGGACACCGCACAGGGUUGUUGGUGGGAAGGCAGACGGUAUGGGUAUGCCACCGGUGUGGGAAUGGAUUUUGGCCGGUGCACCGGUGUGUAGCUGAUUUACUCAGCAGCAGCCGACACACAACAAUCCUGGCGGCAGCCGUUCCCCGCUGCACUAUGCUGCUCCCUGCGCGCCUUCCGGUCCUCCGCGGGUGUCAGUUAUGGGUCUCAUCACAGUCGAACUCGAGCUGGAAACUUGGCCGGGUUCCCGCACGCGCUCCCAGUGUGCAAGGCACGCAGCCCUACGCACACACACACACACACACACACACACACACACACACACACGCAAUCCUACCCACGCGCAGGUGCUGUGCUCGGUGCCGUCGCCCACCACGGCUCUGUCGGAGCUGCGGCGAGUGGUGCGGCCGGGCGGUCGGGUGCUGCUGGUAGAGCAUGUGGGGGCGGACGCAGGGUCGCGGCCGCUGCUGCGGCUGGUGCAGGGGGCGCUGAGUCCGCUGCAGCGGGCGCUGGCGGACGGGUGCAAUCUGGAUCGGGACACGCUGAAGGCGGUGCGGGCGGCGGGCUGGGAUCCGGAGGUGGCGGGGCAGGGCGCGGGGGACAGGAGCUGGGGGGAGGGCCUGGGUCUGGGCGGGAGCGGGGGAGGGGGCGGCGGGGGCGUGGGGCUGAAGCAGUUUGACCUUGCGGGCAUGUCCAUCUUGGCGCCGCACCUGGCCGGAGUAAUGGUGCGGUAGAGAUUUGCAGUGGGCUGCACAGCUGCGCGGGUGCAGUGCGUUUGCGCGGGUGCAGUGCAUUUGCGUGUGUGCAGUGCAUCGGGCAGGGGGAAGCGUCGUGAGCGGCCAGGAGUUCGAACGGCGGCGACCUGAUUUGUACAAGUUCAAGGAGACGUGACCGCAUCAUGCCAAUCUAUGUAAGUGGACACUGUUGCUGGUUUAAGGACGUGAGGGGGUGAAAGUGGCGUGCGUUUGGUGCUACAGGUCCGGGGUGGACCAGACCACACCGCCAGCGAGGCCGAGCGGGGCCGCGCGGGGCCCAGCGCCUGCGUGCAUCGGUAGUCUGGGCAACGGGCACCGAUUAAGUAUAAAAGGGAGCUCAGAUUCAUCACAAACAAUACCCUCCCGGUGACUGAAGCUUGAUGCGAAGCCACUAACAGCUACGCAAGCAAGUUACAGUCGCUCGCAGACCCAGGCCCGCUGGGCCUGUCGCUGAAAGCUUGCCGACAACACUGUCUUCGCAAGCUUACUAGCAAGGGCAGCCCAUUCUCGGUGCUUAGCGCAAGCGAGCACAGGUCUCGAGAAUGGGCGAUGCGCCCGCGAAGCCGACUGCUUCCGCGGUGCGACGCCUGCAGCGCGACCUGCGCCAGUGGGAGCGAGAUUAUGAGGAGCUGGGCCUGCCAGUCCUCCUCCACCAGUUGGAAGCGCAGGACUGGCUCGCCCGGCUGGCCAUCAACAUGGCGCCCAAGGUGAGCCGCAACCGGUUGCUUGGGCGCUUCGGUCUUGUCUGCAUGAAGCCAAAAUUAUGUAAAGCGGGCAAGGGAGGUCGGGGGGCUCUGCAAACCGCUCAACCCAACCGCCACACGCCUCGGCCCCUUCCCCGACCUCUCGCUGCCUCCCCCCCCCCACACACACACACCUCCCACUGCGUUCUCAAACCCCUUCAUUGCGCCCCCGCUUCCGCACCUCCAGGAGGGUCCGUUCGCGGGCUGCGUGUUCCACCUGCAUGCCACCUUCCCGCCCGACUACCCGCACGCCCCGCCCGACGUACGGCUGAUGGAGGCCCCGCCCGGCUUCGACCACCCCAACUUGUUCGCGGGCUGGUCGUCGGCGCUAACGCGCGAGCGCGAGGGCUUUUAUAUUUGUUUGGAUAUGAUCAAACCCAAUUCCGUGGGGCCGUACAAGGUGAGAGAGCGAUCAUAAGUACAGAUGGGUGGGGUGCAGGGAGUGGGUGCAGGGGAGUGUUUGGGUUGGGCGAGUAAAUGGGAGGCACGACUGGGUCACUGGGAUAUGCUCACGUGAAGGGGACGGGGCUGCAUACAGCUGCAAACGCAGGCAUGGCAGGGUAAAAGGGUGGUGGGAGAUGGGGAAUUAUUUUGUGGGAAUGUGCCUAAAAAUGUCUUCGUCUGUGUGUGUGUUGUUUUGCAGUUAGCCGUGACACGCGCUCUAGCACCCUAGCAACACCGGCCUCGUGUCAGUGUGCCGUGGAUGCGUGACGGUGUACCGUAUGUGUCGGCCGGAGCGCGGUGUUCCUUGGAGUUCAAGCUACCGCGAGUGUUGUGCACCGCACAACACUCAUCCGGCCCGAGCCGCAAGGCAUCAGUGUCGUGCGGAGAAGUGCAAGCACGCGACUUCAGCCACGUGCACAGAUGCGUGUGUUACUUCUAGCGGCAGUAGCAAGGAAUAGAAUGGGGGCAGCGUAGGGCGUCGGCCUGUAGGGCACUGGCGCCUGUGGGGCUUUGUCACUUGCACCGCCUGACCACGCACCCAUCGCGUCUGCCACAACUUUUGCACCCCCAACGAAGCACAUCUCUAAACCCUUCCCCCCUCGCUCCCUCCCGCCCGUUCCCGGCUCCAGGGCUGGAGUUCUGCGUACGACAUCACCGCCCUCGUGCUGCAGUUGUACGGCUUCCUACUGGCCGACGACUCCAUAGACCAGGCGGUCGGCCGCGCCAUUGAGCGGCAGCGCGAGCCCCUGCCGCGCCCUGAGCAGGAGCAGCAGCCGCAGGAGCAGCCGCAGGAGCAGGUGGAGCAGGAGCAGAGGCGGCACCAGCGGUUGGGCCCGCCCGCGGAUGGCGGCGGCACCGCCGCUGCCGGGCAGCCGCAGCAGCUGCGGGUGGCCUACGGCCUGACCUGCAGCUGCGGCUUCCAUGACCGGCCGCGCCUGCGGCUAGCCAGCAGCCCGCCGCCAGGGGUCGUGGCAGUGCCAGUGGCCGCCGCGACGGGCGCUGGCGUGGAAGAUGCGGCCAUGUCCGAUGCGGCCGCCGCUGCGGACCCCGCUGGCCUAGGGCGCAACGGUGGUGGCGGCGGCGGUGAGGUCGUAGCGGGCGGUAAGGAGGCAGCGGCGGACGGCAAUGUGGCAGCCUGCCGACUGCCUGACCUCCCGAUGGAGAUCAUCCACAAGAUCUUCACACACGCCGACUCCGGCACUGUCAGCAAGGCCGCCGCCGCCGCCGCCGCCGCCACAACCACUGCUGCCGCCGCCGGUGACCAGCCGCCGCCGCCCGCCAAGCGCGCGCGCAUCCGCUGGUCCCCGCCGCCCUCCACCUCCCCUGCCCCGCCUGCCGCCUCCGCAGCAGCAGCCGCUGCCCCGGACGCUGCCGCCGCUGGUCCGGCACUGGGCGCGGCGCCGGCGGGCGCGGCGGCACACCUGAUGCUGCUGUCGGACGCGGCCCUGCGCGCCAAGCAGGAGGCUGAGCUGAUCUGCUUCUUCCGCAAGGCGCCGCCGGCAGCCGCCACCUGGGUCAGCCGCCGCCAGCCGCCCGGGGCGGCUGCUGGCGUCGGCGGUAACGACAGCAAGGCUAACGGCGGUGAUGGUGGCAGUGGCGGCGCAGCAGGCGCCGCCUCAUCGCGCCAGCCUGGCGGCAGCCGACCCGCAGGCGGUGGCGCAGGUGGCGGCGCUGCCGCCAGUAUCGACCCCCUGGAUGACGUGUUCGGCGGCGGCUACGACCGGCGCGGCAGCGGCGGCGGCGGCGGCAGCGGCGGCGGCGCCAUACCGCCCGAGCUUGACGUGCUCGGCGUGGGCGUCAGCGUGGAGUUGCACGACCGCAGCGCCAGCCUGCGGCGCCUGUCCAUGACGCACGACACGCUGUCGCUGGCGGCCUUCGCGGCCGACGGCGUGCGGCGCUCCGCCUGGAACCAGCCCUUUGAGGCCUUCCUGCCGCUGGCGGUCAACGCGCCGCACGGCCGCGCCGCACUGCGCGUGCUGCGCCACAGCGUGGCGGCCAUGCUGCGCCUGCCGCACGCGCGGCACGUGCGUGCUGAGCACCUGCUGGACGUCGUGGCCCGCCUCAUGAACAGCCUGGUGGUGGACAUCUGCACGCCGCCCAAGAAGAAGGAGGGCGGCGGCGAGCCGGAUCUGGAUCCGGAGAUGGCGGAUGAUCCGUUCCUGGAUUGGCAGGGCCGGCGGCAGCAGGAGCGGCCGGUGCCGAGGCACAUGUCGGACGCGGCGCUGCAAUCCUUCUGCCACCUGCACCACCUGCUGCUUACCCUGGUGGUGGAGGGCGGCAGUAGCGGCGAAGGCGGCAGCAGUCCUGGCAGUGGCUGCAGCGGCGGGGGCGGCGGCGGCGCACUGGGGCGGGCGGUGCUCGAGGCGGCGGCGCGCGACGUGUCUGAAUUCAUCACGCGCCCCGAGGCGCGGCGGAAGUCGUCCUGCCCGGACCUGGGGCUGCUGCUGGUGAAGUAUCUGUUGGUGCCGCGCGACGCCGCGCCCUGGGCCGCCUUCGCGCCGCCCUUCCUGCGCGAACUGCUGGCGCGGCAGGUGCGCUGGGUGGUGAAGGGCCUGGCGGAGGAGCUGCCGCAGCCGCCGCAGGCUGUGGGAGGAGGAAGGAGCGGCGCGUCGGCGCGGGAGGCGGCGCGGGAGGCGGCGCGGGAGGCGGCGGCGGCGGCCGCCGCCGCCUUCGAGCGGCCGUGGGAGGGCGGCGGCGACCUGCGCUACGCGCAGCGCCUGCUGGCGAGGGGCGGCGGCGAGGGAGCGGCGGCGGCCGCGGCCGCGGUGGCGGCGGACGCGACACGGCUGCGUCAGCACUUUGAGCACGCGCGCACCAGCCUGUCGCUGGUGGCACUGCAGGCGUUCUUCGCCAACCACCUCGCCCGCCCGUCAAGCUCCGCCGCCGCAAUGCAGCAGCUGGCGGCGAUCAAGGCGUCGUACGACGCGCGCAACGGCCAACCGCCACCGCCCGUCUUCGACGCCUUCAACGCGCACGCGCGCUCCGUCAUCGCGCAGCGCGGCUGGGGGGACUUCCUGAGCGCCGUACGCAUGGGCGUGUCGGCGGAGGCGGUGGCGGCGGUGGCGGCGGUGGCGGCUGUGGGGGGCGGCGCGGGCGCAGGCAUGGGUGGCAGGGCCGCCGCCGCGUCUGGCGGCGCAGGAAGCAAGCGCGCCGCCCCCACGAUGGCCGUGCCAAGCGCAACCGCGACGGUUAUGGUUGGUGAUGUGGCGCGCGUGAUGGCGGACACGCUGCGUCAGGCGGUGGUUGAGGCGCACCGGGCGGGGUAUCAGCAGGUCCCCGACGGUCGCGGGAGCGGUGGCGGUGGCGGUCGCGACGGCCGGGGCGGGUACGGUGGCGGCGGUGGCGGGAACAGAUGGGACCGGAAGCCGGCGGUGCCAAGUCGGCCGCCGCGGCACGUGCAGUUUGUGGACUGGGACGGCCCCACGCCGCCGCUGGUGGUGGUGGGCUCGGAGUGGUAGGGGGACAAGCUGCAGCUGGUGAAGCUGGCGAUGGCUGCUGGUCGUGCUGGCUGAUCGUGCUGGCUGAUUGCAUGCAUGUAGUCCGUCAAGGUUGGUGGCUGAUGAGGUAGUAAUUCGCAUGCAUUCGGAGGCGACAUCGUGCAAGCUCUUGUCAUAGCUGAUGUCGCCAAGCGGUGGGGCUGGUCAAGUGAGUCUGGUGACGGGAUGCCACAACGUACCACAUGCGAAGCUGCACGCAGUGCCUGUCUGUAAUACAACCGGGACGCCAACCCGCCCAUCAUUCAAUACAAGCUGUGUGCUUGAGUAGCAGUAUGCAAACAAGAGGACCGAAGAAUCUCUCCGGUGUACUGGGGCCUGGGGGCCAAGCAGGGCCAAGCAGGGGGCGCACUGGGGUUGCGCACCUGUCGGCCGGGAUCCAGGAACCUCAGCACGCAGCACGAUGUCUAACCAUCUGCGCAAGCCCAAAGUGCUUCGAUUUCCCUCGACUGAUUCUUACUUUCCUGUAUCGAACCGAAAUGCCCAACACAUCUUGCUUCGCACUCCGUUCAGCGCGCCCACAAGCGCGCUUUCAUUCGUGUCCAAGAAUGUAGAUAUACACUGCAACAUGGGAGUAUAAAUUAUGGGAGCCGUUAAUCCGGAAAGGGACGCGCUCGUGGCAGAGUGGCAGGAAAUCCUCGCGAGCACCAACAAGCCGGCCGCUUUGAAGCAGCGACAGGUGUGCAAAUGUACAUAAUGGCCUGAAUAAUGCACUGACGGCACUUUGCUUACUAUCUGGAGUUGAACAUCAACAAUUGCUUGGCUUCGGUCGCUCUCGCAGGGAUGGUUCUCCAAGGCGUUCUCGUUCCUUAAUACGGCAGAGCACAAAAACCACUGGUGGUGCGUCCAUACGCCCGGUGAGUGCGCAGAGUCCCAUCAGCUCAGCCCCGGACGCGGCGUCCCCUGACCGCGAGCCCCCUGCCCCCUCACUUCACGCGGUCUUCCUCUCACAGUCAUCCGCGCCCUCUCUGAGACGCUCUUCUAUGAGGCGCAGCCGGUGGUGCAGCGUCUGUGGGCGGAGAACACACGGCAGCUGUCGGAGUGUGCGGAGUGCAUCAAGCAGUAUCGGGCGGCGCAGGCGCACUUUGCCUCCUCCGGCCCGGAUGCGGUGAAGGUGCGCGCCGAGGAUUAACCUGGCUCCCACCAAACAUAGGCUGGGGCUAGCUAUUGCGCAAGAGGCAGCGCGUCUUUAAUAGCUGCAGGGCACGCAUAAACCCUUGCUAGCUGAUGAUCUGCUGCAUUCAUCCUGCCCAUGCACGUGCCGCUGCCGCACGACACACCUUCCCUGCAGCUUCUCAAAGUGAUGGCGCGGCGCGAUGCGGAGCGCGUGGCAGCCUGGCUGGCGGCGGCUCCAGGGUGCAGCGGGGGCCCGGCCGGGGCCGACGGAGCGGCGGAGCUGGAGGGCGUGCCGCAGCAGGUACAUGCGUGGGCAGCCAGGGGAGGAGGGAGACGGCGGCAUUUGAGGUUGCUACUGAUGGCAUCAACUACUGCGUGCCUCACGCGUGUGCCUCCUCGUUCUCACCAGCUUUUGCGGGACCCAGCGCUUCCCAGCACCAACACGUCUUCCUUUCAGACCUCACCCCGCCUCGGUCUGCUCACUGCGCGCCUCCCUCUCCGUCUCUCUCUCACUCUCGUCCCUUUCCACCCCGACCACAGGUGGUCUUGGGCCUCUUCGAGGCGCUCUCGCACCCGUCGCUGCUGGCGGACGCGCAGGUGGCGGAGCGGAUGGCGGCGGCACUGCUGGGGCUGGCGCGCAGUGGCGACCACGGCGGCGGCGGCGGCGGCAGCAGCGGCGCCGCGACCCUGUCUGCCGAGCUGGCAGAGGGCGGCCGCUUCCCCGGGCUGUACCUGCUGGCUGCGUAUCCCGACCCGGCUGUGAGGGCGCUGGUGGGUGCGGGACCGGGGUUCAGGGGUGCGGGGCGGGGGGCGGUGGUGGUGGUGGUGGGGGUGCGCGGCACACGGUGGCCAGAGGAGCAGCUUCGAGCGAGCGUAAGCAUUCGCGCAAUGAGGUUCGCUUCUCCCCGUAUGUGCUGAAUGGAAGCAUCAUAACGUGUGUGUAUACGUGUGUGCGUGUGUGUGUGUGCCGGCAGGUGCUGCCCGCGUUGCAGCAGCUGGGCCCCAUCGCCACCGCGGAGGAGGUGGCGGCGGCGCAGCUGGAGGCCCUGCUGCGCGGCUGGACGUGCCGGCUGCGGCGGGAGCUGCCGCCGCGGCUGCGCCCGGCGCCAGCGGCGUCACAGGCAGGGACAGCGGGAGGAGCGGGAGCAGCGGGGGCGGGGUCAACGGGAGAGGCGGGCGCUGGCGAGGAGGCGGAGGCGGAUGCGGAUGUGGUGGUGGUGGAGGAGCUGGAUGCGGCGGAGGCGGACCCGGCCACGGGGCGGCGGCGCUUCCAGCAGCCGCUGGAGUCGCUGUGGCUGGGGCUCAAGGUGCGGCGGGGCGGGGCGGGGCGGGGCGGGGCGGGCGGGGCGGGGCGGGGCGGGGCGGGCGGAAGUGGUGGAGGUGGUCUCAUCAUUGCCAGUCAGCAUCCAGAGACACGAGGAACAGGACAGGACAGGACGGGGGGAAGCUGGUGUGCGCUGUGGCGGCGGCCGGGGGCGGGUGCAGCGGAUGGGUGUGUGAGUAGUGGGUAGGCAAGGGCGUUUCCCAAGUGCUCGUAGAGCGAAAAUCCAAAUGAUAUGAUGGCUUCCCCUCUGUUCUCAUGUCCCGCUGCACUACGAUUGUUGCUUCCUGGCACUGUUCCGCACCCGUUCAGGUGCUACUGCAAGCGCUGCAGCCGCCAGCGCUGGCGGCGGCGCUGGAAGCGGCGCCGGACCUGCCGGCGGCACUCGUCGCCCACAUCCUGGCCUGGCGCCGCGCAGCCGCGAGCGCCGUCGGCGGCUCCGACCCACAUGGCAGCAGCGGUGGCAACAGUCACAACCCACAUGGCAGCGGCGGCGGAGCGCUGCAACACCACCAGCACCAGCAGCACCAACAGCUGCCGCUGCCUGCCAGCUACCGCCAUAUGCUGGGCUGCCUCCUGCCACUUGCGCGAGGGCUGGGCGGGGACGAGCUGCGGCAGGUGUGCGACGCGGCGGCGGCGCCGGCUGCUGCUGCUGCUGCCGCUGCUGCGGCGGCGGCAACGACUGCCACCGCGGCCGCGGCGCCAGGUGGCGUGGAGGCAUGGCCGGGCGCCCGGGCUGCGGCUGCGGCUGCAGCGGCAGCGGGCGGCAGUGGGGAGUAUGAUGGCAGUGGGGUGACGGCGCUGGUGGCGGCGCUGGGCGAUGCGGCUGCCUGCACGCCCGACCCGUCCAUGCACAAGGUAGGUGCCGGUGCAUGGCCAGAUGAGCGGUGCUGUACUCGCUUUGCCUUAACAGCAUCCCGCAAGCAUGCUGUUGUUUCGCCUCGCGCUCCACGUCGCGUUGUUCCGCAUCUUUUCUUUCGCUCCAACCCUCAUCCCGCCGGUUCCUCCCCGCCUGCUCCUCCCGCCUCUCAAUUCAACCCUCCUCCCUCCCGCCCGCCCGCUCCUCCCUCCCGCUCAUCCCUCAGCUGAUGGUGGACGUGGUGGGGGCGCUGCUAGGCUCCCUGGCCGCCAGCCCCGCCACCCCCCACCCCGCCCUCCGGGCCCCGCUCAACCUGCUGCUGCGCCAGGUGCACGGCGGCGGCGGGUACGGCACCGGGCUGUACGGCGGCGGCGCCGGCUGUACGACAGGAGCUGGCGGCGCGGGCGCGGCGCCGUACUCGUACGGCGUGAGCUACGGCUAUCCGUACAGCGCGCUGUGCCGGGCGACGGCGGCGCUGGCGGCGUUUGGCGGGGUGGGGGCGGCGGUGGGCCGCGGCGGCCACUCGCCCGCCUUUGGUUCGGACCUGUACGGGCCGGCGGCGUGCCAGGUGCGGGGGCCACUCGGUACGGUACUCGUGAGAGUCCGAACAAGAAAGACGAGAUGGCUUUGCGUGGAUGCGGGACAGUUGUUCGGCAGACGGCACCGCAGUGGCUGAACUGUGUUGUUGGCGGUGUAUGUGGUGCGGUGUGUGUUUGCAGGCAGUCAUGUCGCUGCCGGCGGCGGGCGGCGACGCCGUGGCGGCCGCGGUGGCGGCGGCGGCGGGCAACGGGCCCCUGGAGCUGCGGGUGGUGGAGGCGGCGGCGGCGGUGGUGUGCCUGGUGCUGCAGGUGGGUGCGCCGGGCUGGUCUGGUCAGGUCUGGGCACAGUACCAGCAGGCAGCACUUGCCGGUAUAGGUACCGGUGCAAAAGCCGCAUUAAGUUUGCCGCGUAAAUAUCGGUACAGAAGCCGCGUUAUAUUAGGGUUGCUGACCGCGUAUUCGUCCCAACUCGUGGGGGCCCGGUUUCCGCCUCCCAGGCCGACGCCACGGCGCUGGCGGCGGCGCUGGACCACUCGCGCCCCACCAGCGCCCUGCGCCGCGUGUGUCCCUCCGCCCUAGAGCCGCUGCGCCUGGCGCCGGCGGAUGCCUGCCACGCCGGCGGCGGCGGCGCUGAGGGCGGCCCAGGCAGCACCAGCGCCCCCAUGCCGCUAUCACAAGUCGGCUCCCAGCCGGCAGCCUUGGCCGCGCCAUCAGGUGCUACAGCCGCUGCGGCAGCGGCUGCAGCAGCGGCUGCGGCUGCUACAGCCGCCUGCGAGCUGGCGCUGGACGGGCUGGACAGCUACUGCGCCACGCCGGCGGCGUACAUGGCUGUAGCGGGCUGCCCGCACCCGGCUGUAGCGCUGGCGCUGCUGCAGGCGGCGGCGCACGUGGCGGAGCUGGAGGAGGGGGCGGCGGAUGGCAGUGGCUUUGCCGCACCCGGUGCCUGGCAGGGGCCAGGUGGGGUGGAAGAGGCGUUUGUUAAGUGUGAAGGCGCGUCCAGGUAUACGGUAGACGUGUGCAUUAGGACCUGCACACAUCUUGGCUGCCUCCACAUGGUUCGAGAUGUGUCUUUGCGCACUGAUGUCUACAGCAUGUUGUUGAUUUCGUGCCUUUUGCUGUGCGCGCGUGUCACGCCGACACGCCACAGGCGGCCGCUCCGCGGCGGGCGCCCUCCUGAGCGCGACGCAGUGGUCGGUGCGGCCGCGGCCCGAGGGCCCCAACGCCUGCGCCGUGCCGGUGGUCGCGGCCGCACCGCAGCUGCUGGCGCGGCUGCGGGAUGCCACGGGUAUGGCCAAGGGCUGGGGCUAGGCUUGGGGCUGGGGCUGGGUUUGGGGCUGGGUUUGGGGCUGGGUUUGGGGCUGGGGCUGGGUUUGGGGCUGGGUUUGGGGCUGGGUUUGGGGCUGGGGCUGGGUUUGGGGCUGGGUUUGGGGCUGGGUUUGGGGCUGGGGCUGGGUUUGGGGCUGGGGCAGGGGCAGGGGCAGGGGCAGGGGCAGGGGCAGGGGCAGGGGCAGGGGCAGGGGCAGGGGCUGGGGCUGGGGCUGGGGCUGGGGCUGGGGCUGGGGCUGGGGCUGGGGCUGGGGCUGGGGCUGGGGCUGGGGCUGGGGCUGGGGCUGGGGCUGGGGCUGGGGCUGGGGCUGGGGCUGGGGCUGGGGCAGGGGCAGGGGCAGGGGCAGGGGCAGGGCAGGGGCAGGGGCAGGGGCAGGGGCAGGGGCUGGGGCUGGGGCUGGGCUGGUGCACGAACGGUGAUGAGGGCUGCGGCAUUGCCUUUCGCCUAUCCACCACCGCCACCCGCCGUAACCAUCCAUCCCUGGUCAUCCCGCACCCCACCCGCGCCCCCGCCAUGGCUGGCAGUGGUGCACCUGGAGCGGGCGGCCGCGGAGGCGCACGUGCUGGGCAUUGCCGCCGACCGCCUGCCGGGCGGGCCCAUGGCGCCGCCGCCGCCGCCGCCGUCGCAGCCGCUGUCGCUGUCGCAGCAGCCGCAGCAGCAGCAGGCAGCGGAGGCGGGGUCGGAGGCGGAGGCGGCGGAGGCGGCGCGGGAGGUGGCGACGCGGGCGGAGGGCGAGGCGCUGGCGGCGCUGCUGCGGCUGGUGUGCGGGGCGCACGGCGGGCUCAGGUGCGGGCACGUGCACGUGCGCGGGCGUCCGUGGAAGCGCUGGGUCCAGGGCGCCAAACUCGAGAUGCAGGAUUUACAAGAGCACCUUUCUACCGGAGCUCCGCUCGUGCGCCGGUGUAAACAAUUAUCAGAAAGCGCAUACAGCAACGAUUGCACACUCGCGAACCUGCAGGGCCGCGGCGGAGGCGGCGUUGGUGUCGCACUUCCUGAGCCCGGCAGACGCAGCGGACGCGGCGGCGGCCGCCGCCGCGGCGGCCGCUGCGGGGGGCGGCGGCGGCGGUCCGCUGGAACGGGCAUUCGCGGGCGGCUGGCUGGCCGUGUCCUCAGGCCACUCCAAGGUGAGUUUAAAGCAGCAACAGUUGGGAGUGCUUACCUGUCAUGUCGGGAUCUGCCCCCCCCCAAAUAGCGAGGACCGGACCGGGCCGCUUGGCACUGCAUCAUUCCCAGUCCCCACGCGUCAAUGUGGCAGCACUGCCCCCCUGGCCUGUUCCGCCCCUCUCUGCCCCUCUGCCCGCUCCCCCCCUCUGCCCGCUGCGCCUCGCUCCGAACUCCGCCCCUCUCCGCCUCUCUGCCCGCUCCGCCCCCCCUGCGCCCCUCCUGCGCCCCUGUGUGACCCUGUGUCCCUCCUGCGCCCCUCCUGCCCACCCCUCCGCCCACCUGUGUGCCCUGUGCGGGCGCAGGUGGUGCUGGCCACGUGCACGCAGGUGGUGGAGGAGCUGGCGGGGCUGAGACCCAUGGACCGGGUAGGGCCGCGGCAGGGGGGUGGCGGGGAGGGCGGCACGCAUGAGACAAGCAACCCCAGUCAGGUUGAGCGUAAGGCCGCAUCUUGGCAUGUACUGGCCGCUGCGGCCGCGGCCCCGGCCCCCCUACGCCUGCUGUCUACUUCGCUACACUUUUUGUACCAAUCUUUGCCGCCCCCCCCCACCAGCUCAUGGCCAGCAGCUGUCUGGCGCCCAGCCUGCUGUGUGUGCAGGUGCGUGCCGUGGGCGGAGCGGGGAGCAGUCACUGCGGGGUUGGGAGCGUAAUGGCUAAGUAAAGCACACGGGACACGCUGUGUGCACAUGUGUCCAAGGGAAACAGCACGAGUGCAGGUGUAUCUUUUUUAGAGACAAGUCAGGAAAGCACCCUCGCUCGCCCCAUAGCCCGGCGGCCGCUCCCGCCCCUCCUGGUGCUCUACGUGUUGUUGUCACAACUCUGCAACCCCUCCGCCGUCUUUCAUGGACGCCGUCCCCCUUGCACUAGGCCGUGCUGCGUGCCGCUGCCGACCACGACGGCCUGCACGGCCCCGCCUUCGAGCUGGCGCUGAGGGCGUGGGCGCUGGGCGUCAGGAUGCUGGAGCAGGUGCGUGUGCGCGUGUGCGUAUGUGUGUGUUUGUUCGCGGCUGGGGUGCAGCUGGGAUGAGGGCAGGCAGGCUGGCGGUGCUGGCCAGCAAGGCGCAGCGAGAGAGGUGCACCUUCUUGCAGCAUUGUCCGCUUGAUCAGCAGUGCCACCUCUUCUGUCACCUCCAACCAACGCCGUUCGACUCCCUGCGGCGCUACCGCGACUGCCGUGAUUGCCGCUGCCGUGACUGCCGGUGCCGGUGACUGCCGCUGCCCGACUGCCGCUGUUGGGACCGCCGCUGCCGCGACUGCCGCUGCCGUGACCGCCGCUGCCCCGCUGCCGUGCAGGGCCUGCCUGUGUACCGCGCGCGGCGCGAGUGCCGCGGCGCGGUGCUGCCGCUGCUGCAGCUGCUGGCGCCGUGCUGGUACUUCCUGCUGCAGGUGGGGGCGUGGGAUGCAGGAGGGUGGAGCGGGGGUGGAUGGGCGGAUGGGUGUAUGGCGCAUGCAGGUUCCAUUGAGGAAGAAAGGGUUUCCGUUGCAACAGAGGCAUGCCGCUUUGGCGAUUGCGAUGCGGGACCCGCUCAGUGGCAAUACGGCCGUACGUUUGAGGUAGCCGCUUCGAAUGUCCCCGCAGGCGCCAGAGGGCCGCGCUCCCGCGCCGCGCCUGCUGCGUGCCUGGCUGCCGGCGCUGCUGCGCUGGGCGCCCGUGCUCUGUGCUGACCCGCCAACGGCCUCUGGCGGCGGCGCCGCCGGACUGCUGUCCUUCAGCGCCGCCGGCGGCGCCGCCUCCGCCGCCAAAGUGCUGGUCGGCUCGUUGGAACUGAUGAUGGGCACGGUCCGGGAUCUGGGUCCACUGGCUCCUGAAGCGCUGGAGGCGGCGCGGGAGGUGCUGGCGCCGCCGGGCGCGGCGUUGGCGGCCGCAGCGUCGGCGGGCAGGGGCCUGGCGGCGGCGACGGCGGCGGCGGUGGGUGGCGGCGGCCCCGCUUCGCAGCUGGAUGGGGAGCUGCGCAUGCGGCUGGCGAGUCUGUUUCCCGAGGUGGCGCCAGGUGCGUGGCGGCGGGUGGCAGGCCGAGUGGCAGGGCGGGUGGCAGGGCGGGUGGCAGGGUGGGUGUCAGGGCGAGUGGCAGGGCGGGUGGCAGGGCGCGGGUGGCAGGGCGGGUUGCCAGGGCCCUAGGCCACCUCUACAUAUUACCCGCAACUGAUUGACUCCACACGGCUUGUGUGCAGGCAACCUGGCAACAGCGGCGCUCAACCCGCUCGCGGGUCUGCCCUCCCGGGCCGCUACAGCCGCAGCUGCCAACGCGGCGCCAGCGGCACCCGGCCGGCAGCAGCCAACGCCGCAGGCGCAGCAGGGCGCGGCAUCCACGCCCCGGCAGCAGCAGGGCCCGCGCCUGCAGCAGCAGGGACAGCAGCAGCGCUCGCCACGCGGGGCGCCGGGUGCCGACUUCGUGCCGGAGUCGCCGACACGUGAUGACACCGACCAGCCCUCCGUCUUCACACAGCUGCCCACACAGGCGCGCCCCAGCCCCCUGCCGCGUCAGCAGCAGCAGCAGCAGCAGCAUCAAGGGCAGCAGCAGCGAGGGCAGCAGCAGCAGCAAGGGCAGCAGCAACACGGGCAGCAGCAGCAACAGGGGCAGCAGCAGCGGCCGGUUGUGGGGGCACGGCCGGCGGUGGUGGAUCUGACCCUCAGCGACAGUGGGGGAGAGGAGGACGAGGAGCAGGAGCCGGAGGGGGGCGCUGGCGCGGCGGCAGCAGCUGCGGAGGCGGGGGCGCAUGAGGCGCAGCAGCCUCAGGCUGAGGAGGAGGAGGACGUCGGCGCGGGCGAGGACGAGGAGGCAGAAGCGGCGGCGGCAGAGGAGGACCAGCUCGAGUUUGAGGGGGGUGAGGAUCGGGAGGAGGCGGGCGGGCAGGGUGAGGAUGAGGGUGAGGACGAGGAUGAGGAUGAGGAUGAUGAUGUCGAGAUCCUGGAUGGGCCCGACGUGGUGAUGGCGGCGGCGCUGCGGCCGUCUCAAGACGACCCCGAGGACAACCUGCCUCUGCGGCGGCGCAUGCCCGCCGCCGCCGCCGCCGCCGCCGCCGCCCACCAGAAGCAGCAGCAGCACCUGGUGACCGGCUAUGACGACACGGCGGCGGCGGCGGCGGCGGCGGCGGCGGACAGCGACGAGGAGGAGCUGCGGCGGCUGCCGGUGCGCCGGCCGCCGCCGCCACUCGCCACGCAGGCGGACGGGCUGUGGGCCGCCGCCUACAGCGCGGCUGCUCCUAGUGCUGGUGGCGCGACGGGUGGCCGCGGCAGCGGUGUUGCUGGUGUUGGUGCGGGUGCGGGUGCCGGUGGUGGUGGUGGAAACGCGAGCAACCCAUUCGCGACCGUCCCGAGGCGCCCGCCGCCCGCCGGCGGCGGCGCCGCGUUUGUCCCCAAGCCACGGAAGCUGGCGGCGGCGACUACGGCGGCGGCGGCCGGGGGCGCCGGCGUGAAGGCUGCUGCUGCCGCCGCUGCACAGGCUGUUCCCAAGGCCGGCGGUGCAGGGGCUCGCACCGGCAAGGCUGGGGCCGGGGCCGGGGCUGAGGACUUCAAUUUGACAGACACGCUUCGGGCCUUGGAGUGAGUCACCUGGACUGGGGGGGGUUAUAUAAAUACCAAACCAAGCCACACUACGGGGGUUGAAGCCCGUGAUGAUGCAGGGGCUGUAGAUGCGGCUAUCGGGGAGGGAUUCUGGCGGUAAUGACAGCUCACGCAAAUUGAGCUGCAGUCACGUGCUUUCUUCUUACGCGCUUUCUUCUGGCCCUACCGUAUGGUGUUUCACCAAAACGCAGAUCGGCGGUGGUGCGAACGGGCGGCAUGGACAUCGCCUCAAUCCGCACCCUCCAGCGCCUCAAGAUGGCGGCGGCGGCGGCAGGCGGCGGCGGCGGUGGCCGUGACAAUGACGGGCUGGGGCGGGCGGGCGGCAAGGCCCGGCAGCGGCGGCGGCCGACGCCGGCGGCUAUUGCGGUGCUCGGCGCGGCGGCGCCGCCAGCAGCGGCGGCGACUGUCGGUGGCGGCGUGGGUGUCAGCGCAGCGGCGGGCGGCUCCAAGGCGGCUCAAUGGCGCAAGGAUCUGUUGGGGAGAGGGACCGGGGCUGGCGGCAGCGGCGGCGGCGGCGGUGGAGCAGGAGGUGGCGGAGCAUGGAUCGGGGCCGGGGACAGGGGUGGGCUGGAGGGCGGGCGGCGCGCACGCGGCUGGGCCGUGGGCGGCGGCGUCGGCGCCGGUGGCGGUGGCGGCGCUGCUGGUGGCGGCGGGGGGCGGGCGGGCGGUGCUGUGGGGCCGCCGCCGGACCCUCUGGAGCAGCAGCCGGCGCCCAGCCUGAGGUAGGUGUAUUCUGGUGGUUUUGCAGUUGGGUGCUCGGGCGGGAGAGCACCGCCGCGCCUCACAACAAGCUUUCACCCCAAACCUGAUGGGUGUGCACGAUACCUGCCUAACCUUGACAACCAACUGCUCCCCGGGGGUCGCUGUGCGUUGCCGCAGGAGCUUGCACCAGCAGCAGCAGCAACAGGCAGCAGCGGCGGCGGCCGCGGUGGCGGCGCAGCCGCCACCAACCGACAACGGCAACGACUUCCACAUCGACGCCACGCAGCGGGUCCUGGUCAUCGACGAUGACGAUGACUUCUUUGCCAGCCAGCGCGCCGGCGGCGGCGCCAACGGGCCCAACGGCCCCAACGGCCAACCGCCGCAGCGCAACCGCCUCGGCCUGGCGGGCCUGAUGGCGGCGGUGGUUGGCGGCGGCGGCGGCGGCGUGCGGCACCGCAGCGUGGUGCACCUGGAGGCGGGGCCGCGCGGGGGCGGCGCCGCGCCCAAGCCGCUGCCGCCGCUGGUGCAGGUGCUGACGAUGAAGCAGGUGGUGCGGCAGGUGAGUUGAGUUGAGUGAGGGACGGUUUGUGUACGUGUGUGUGUGUGUGUGUGUGUGUGUGUGUGUGUGUGUGUGUGUGUGUGUGUGUGUGUGUCAUGGCUGACCGGGUGUGGAGGCCAGACGCGUGCGGGGCGAGAGCUUGGUGGCGGGCAGGAGAUGGGUCACGGCGCACGCACAUAGACAUUGACACAUGGGCCGCUGCUACUGCCCACCGCAGGUGCUGCAGCUGCGCAUGGAUGUGCUACUGCCGCUCGUCGGCAGUAGCAACGGAGGUAGCGGCAGUAGCAGGUCGCUGACGGCUCGGGGCUCGCUGCUCAAGGGGCAAAAGGUGCCCGAGUCCUUCGCUGACCUGCACCACUACACCGACACCUUCAGGUGGGGCGUCGGGGGCGUUGCUGCAUGCUGCCGUGGCUGUUGCUGCCGUGGUCCCAGGCGUCCGCAAGCUCCCAAAGCUUCCAAGCUUUCAAGCUCCCAAGCUCCCAAGCUUCCAGGCUCUGACUGCACGCAUGCAGGCGUGGCGGCACUGCGAGUCAUUCCCAGCCCUUUCAACAUUUCUCACAUAAGCUGCUGGCGCCGGACGUUUCUGCCAAGCCUUUACGACUCCUACCGCACCCCUGUCCCUGCUGCUUUUCCUUUCUGUGCUCUUCCUCAUAAUCCCAGGGAGCUGCUCAUGGAGGAGCUGGCCGCCUCCGUCCGCAGCGCGGUGGAGGACCUGGCUGCCGGCGCCGACAGCUCCAGGGGCAGCCGCGGCGGCGGCGGCGGCAGCAGCAGCAGAGGGGCUGGCGGUGGCGGUGGCGGCGGGGAGCGCGGCCGUGCGCCGCCUGCGGUGCGCGCCGUGGUACUGCUGAAGACGCGCAGUGACGACAUGAGUGCGGUGCAGCUCAAGGUGGAGAACGCAGGCGGCGGGGCGCAGCGCGACAUGUGCCGCGUGGUGGGUGCGGGCGGGCGGGCGUGGCUGGGGGCUGGGGGCUUGGGGGAGGGGGGGGCGGAGGGCUGCGUUGAUUAUGGGGCGUGGAGGGUCGGGACGGGUUUGGCCUGCAGGGCCCGGGCUGUGGGGCUGGUUGGUUGACCUCCGCGCAACCUAUGGUAACCCAAAAGUACGGUAGUAAUUCCCCCAUGAUUUCGCGUGCUUUCAUGGGUUGAGGCGAACUAGUCUUUCCGCCCCCGCUGUUUCACAUUACCCCACCACCUCACGACACCCCACCCGCCCCAGGACGACCUGGUUCUGCUGACGCGGCAGCCGCUGCCGUCCGCCGCCGCGCUGCUGACGCCGCCGGCACCCUGCGUGCUGGGGGUGGUGGAGGCGGUGGCGCCGGACGACGGCGGGUGGCUGGUGACACUGCAGGUGCGGGGGGGGGCGGGCCGGGGGGCGGGGAGCCGGUGUGCGGGGUGGGGGGGAGCAGGGGCAGGUGCGGGGGUUGCAUCAACGAGAGUGAAUUGUAGCCGAGGGGCCAGGUGCGGGGGGCAUGGCGCCGGGCUGGGGCAGGCACAGGAUGUGGGCAGCUACCGCGCGGGCCGGCCAACAGCGGGCCAAGUGUGGCAGCGCGACAUCGCCCCCGGGGCCAAGGCGCGGCUCCCGUAUCCAUCCGUACCCUGUGGUGCGUGCGUGCGCACAACAUACACACAGUCUUGCGCGUAUAAUUUUUUCCUCGUGCCCUUUAACACACACACACACACACACACAGUCCUGUUUCCUCCCUCCCAAACACGCGCUCUCUGGCACACACGCCCACGCCACCGGUUACACGGCUGCUUGUCGCAGGCCUGCCUGACCGGCCCCUCGGGCGGCGCCGCCGGCGGCGAGCUGCUGGAGGCGGUGGUGCUGCCGCGCACCGAAUGGCACCUCACGCACCUGACCAGCCUGGUGCCCAACUUCCGGGAGUUCCACGUGCGUGUGCCCGGCCGCGUCGCUGUGCCAUCUACCUGUGGAGCAUUGGUAUUAUUGCACCAGCUCUAAGCCUAAAGCUGCAGAUACUGCGCCCUGGGUCUUCAUGAGCGUUCGAGGGUUUUCUGUCGCAGCAAGCCCGGACUUUGCCACUGUACUGUGGUUUGCGCCAGCGCUCAUCCCUGCCGUUGCAACCCUCCGCCGCUUGUCCGCCCACACAGGCUCUCUGCAACCUGUGGCGCCUGCACGACCCCACCGUGCGCUUCCUGCUCUCCCCCACCUCCUCACCCUCUACUACUGCUGCGGCUACUGCCGCUGCUGCUGCCGCUACCUGGUCGGCUGCGGUUCUGCCUCCUGGCCUCAAGUCGGGGCUGGAGGCGGCGUUCAAUGAGCCGCAGCGGGCAGCCAUUCUGGCGGCACUGGCGCCCACACCCACAUUCACACUGGUGCAGGUGAGCUGAGUGUGUACGGCAUGAGUGGAUGUGUUUGCGUGUGUGUGCGUGUGUGUGUGUGUGUGUGUGUGCGUGCGUGUGCGUGUGUGUGUGUGUGUGUGUGUGUGUGUGUGUGUGUGUGUGUGUGUGUGUGUGUGUGUGUGUGUAUAAUCCAUGCAGCUCACUGCAGCCAAAGGGAAGGGGGGGCCCUUGGCCACGGCUCUUGGCGCAGCAUGGGGUUAGCCUCGCCCACAGCCACCCGCCACCGCCCAUCCCACCUCCCCACCUCCUGCCUCCGCCUGCCACUGCCGCAGGGCCCUCCCGGCACCGGCAAGACGUCGGCCAUCAUGGGUAUGCUGUCAGUGCUGCUGGCGCGACCCGACAUUAUGGCGUACAGGGUGAGGGGGGGAGGUGGGGGCAGCGGGGGGCGGCGCGACCCGACAUUCUGGCGUACAGGGUGAGGGUGGGCAGCGGGGGGCGGCGGGGGCGGCAUUCUGGCGUACAGGGUGAGGGGCAGCAGCAGCAGCACGGGCCUGAGCGGUGGGGGCGGUAGGGGCGGUGAGAGCAGUGGGAGGAGCGGGAGCAGGCAGGAGGGAGCGCACGGUUGCUGUGGUGGUUUUGGUGGGGUUGGGUGGGGCCUGGGAGCGCUGCUCUUUUGCGCUGACCAUGUAGGCCAAGCAGCUGGGCAUGCGGUGGCAUGGGAGCACGUAGGUAAAUGGCUAACUGCGCUGUGGCGUGGCGUGGCAUGCGCAUUGUCUGUGCGGUUGUCGACAGGCGGGGCAGUCCGGCUUUGCACCUGAGGUGUCCGGCGCGGCCCGGGCGGCGGGCGGCGGCGGCAAGGCGGGCAGCAGGAGCCGCGCCGGCGGCCUGGCGGCGGCCGCAGCCGCAGCAGCGCUCGGCGGCAAGGGCGCCGCCACCCGCGAGGCUGCGGCGGCGGCCGCUGCCGCCAUCGCCGCUGCGCCGUCUGGUCCGCUCAAGAAGUCAUCUGCAGCCCGGCGCUUCGCGGCCGUCAAGCUUGCAGCCGCCAAGCUUGCCGCCGGCGCCGGCGCCGCGACCGCCAAGCCUGGUGCCAAUGGCCGGGAGCGGGACGCCGAUGCCGACGACGACGAUGUGGCGCCGCCCGCCAAGCACCCGCGCCGGGGCGGCGGCAACGCCGGGGCUGACGUGGCGGAUUGCAGCAGCAACGUCGGAAGCACUAGCGGCGGCGCCGAGGGCUCAGGUGGCGGCGGCAGCACCAGCGGCGGCGUGGGCGCGGGCAUGCUGUCCCAGGCGUGUCUGGAGCGGGCGCCGCAGGAGGCCCUUGACGCCUUCGACUUUGCCAACCCGCCCCGCAGCCGAGUGCUGGUCUGCGCACAGGUACGGCGGGUGGGCAGGCCUGCACUCGCUGGCCUGCACCCGCGUGUUGAAUCACGACAUCUUAGUCGCAUGGCGUGCCUUUGCACUGUCCUGAAACGUGUACAUGCGCACACGCACACACACACACACACACACGCACCCAGCUCGGCAGGUUGGUCGACUGUGUGUACAAUAUGCUCUCAAGGUAUUCCCCUGCACCACGUACACUAUCCACUGUUGUUCCUUGUGCUCUUUGACUCACACCCGCAGUCCAACGCGGCCAUUGAUGAGCUGCUGACGCGGCUGGUGGGCGAGGGCGUGUGGCGGGCAGACGGCGCCAGGCGGCCGCCGGCGGUGGUGCGACUGGGCCGAGUGGAGGUCAGUGAGGCACCGGGGGUAGGGCCGCAGGGGCAGGGCCGCAGGGCUGGUGUGGCGGCGGGCGCGGCGGAAACACAAACAGCCCCCACACACACCCCACGCCCGCAGCACCCGUAGACCGAGCUUGUCCCUCCUGCCCCAUCCCCACGGCCUUCACCCUCGCCUGCUGCUGUGCCCCUACCCCCCGUAUAUCGGACAUCGGUAACAACGCGCCUCUGCAGUACCACUGUGCCUGGCCACAGCUUCACUUCUCAACUAGUCCUAAAUGCUUUCCCUCCGUCCUUCCUUCCCUGCAGGUGACGCACGGACCGGUGUUGGCACUGCACGUGGACUCUCUGGCGGAGCAGCUGGCGGGCCGCCACGACGGCACGCAGGCGGCGGGCGCGGCGCUGGAGGAGGCGCGCAAGUGAGGGGGCGGGGUGGGGGCGCGACGGGGAGCGGCGGGGAGGGGAGCGGUGGGGUGCGGGGUUUAAAGUACCAGCCCAAACUGCACCAAACCAAGCCAAAUCAGCAGAGCACAGGUGGUGCGGUGGGGUGGGUUCCGGUGUGGAGGCAGGCGUGGGAUGCCGGCGGCGUGGCGGCACGCGUGGGCAGAAGGGCGUGGAAGGCAGGCAGGCGGGCGGCUGCGUCUACUGCGCGGCGUGACUUGGAAUGUGCGGGGCAGGCAGGGCGCAAGGCACAGGUGCGGGUGCCUUGUGGGAAGUCGCAGGACCUGUGUGCGAGCCGGAGCAAGGGCCGCGUCGCGUGUGUGCCUGUGCCUGCGUUGCAGGGACCUCAUGGACGCGCGGCGCGAGUUCGAGGAGGCAAGUGGUUGGUUGCCCCGCCGGGCGUGUGGGCGUUGGACCACAUGUCGACUCGACUUGCAGCACAGCUGCUGGGGCUGUGCAUGGGAUGACUCGGUGGAAAACGGGAGGCGCGGUGACGCGCUGACGUGGCGCCUUGCGUCGCAUGCAUCUGCCUGCUUUCUGCACUCGGUCUCGCCUAGCACUCAGCACCACCCCAAAGGAGCACCGUUUACCGUUCCGCCUCCCCCUUGCCUCCGCUCGCCUCUGCAGGCGCAACACGAGCUGGAGGAGGCGGAGAAGCGCAUCCUCAGGAAACAGCAGCAGCAGGGCCAGGGCCAGGGCCCGGACACUGCAAACCGCGACAAGGGCAAGGGCAAGGGCAGUAGCAAGGGCUCGAAGACAAAGCGGGCAGCACGGAAGCGUCGGCCUGGCGGCGGGGGCGGCAGCGAUGGCAGCGACGCGGACAUGGAUCUGGAUUCCAACGGCUCCGGGUCGGAUGCGGAUUCUGGAUCCGAAGACGGCGAACCGGUGGACAAGGAUCCGCCGGAGCCCGGCGAAGUGGCGGAGGGGGCAGAGGCGGCGGGGGGCGGCGAGGGCGCGGCGGCUGAGGCCAAACAGCUGGCGGCGCUGCGGGAGCGCAAGGAGCGGCUGUGGGAGCGGUUCAAGGUGAGCGCAGCACAGCACGAGCAAGUCGCAGCAUGGGGGGGGGACGGGGGUAAUGUGGGGCCGGAAUAGGAGACCCCUGGUGGCGGCGGGAGACGGGCUGCCCGCGCGUGCCGUGCCAAGGCGAUGGGCUACCGUGCACAUGUAUUGGUGUUGUGGUAUUGGAGUAUGCAUACGGUAGGUUUGCACAUAUGCCGUGGGUGUGUAUGUCUGCGCCACGGCCACGGGCCUACGGUCUUCCGGCACGAUUAGGGCGUGCAUGCGCGUUCCACCACACACACUCACCGGAUCUGUUGGGGGCUGACCAAGGUCCCACAUGCCGUGGGCGUCUGGUCCGCAUUCCCCACACGCCGUGUAUGCCUUGAUCGCCGUGCUCAGUCGCCGUGCCCCGCGCCGCCCCCGCAGUUCACGGAGCGCAACCAGCGGCGCGGCGGUCGCGAAGUGGAGCGGCAACGCAAGGAGCUGAGACAGGUGCCGGGGGGGCUGGGGGCUGGGGGCCGGGCGGGGUGAUGGGUGUUGCUGUCUAGGGGAGGGGUGUUAUUUCAAAGGUCUGGGGGGUUGGGGGCUGGGGGUUGGGGGCUGGGAGCUGAGACAGGUGCCGGGGGGAGGCUGGGGGCCGGGGGCCGGGGGCUGGAUGUUGGGUGUUGCUGGUUUGGGGAGGAGUCGCUUUAAAGGGAGUGGGGCUGGGCGUCUCCUUGCACGUAGGCUCCAGGCAGUGUGACGCCGCCCUCCUGUCUCGCAGCACAGCUGGCCUCGCGUCCUUCCGCUUUAAGAUGUGUAGCCCUGCAAACCGCCCCAAGCCCACGCCCCACACCCCUCCCUUUCCCUCCCUCCCUCCCCCUGUUCUACCCGCCCGCAGGCGGUGGUUCUGGCGGCGGAAGUGGUGGUGACCACACUCUCCGCCGCCGGCGGCGACCUAGCACAGCUCUGGGCCGCCGCCACCACCAACGCCGCCGCCGCCGCCGCCGCAAAGGCCGCCGCCGCCGCCGCUGCGCGGCCCGCCGCCGGCAGCGCCGCCGCCGGCUUCGCCGCCAUCGCCGAGGCCGGCGGAGGCGGCGGCGGCGGGCCGGGCUUGGGCGCGCCGCCGCGCUUUGACGCGCUGGUCAUUGACGAGGCGGCGCAGGCGCUGGAGCCGGCGGCGCUCAUCCCGCUGGCGCUGCUGCAGCCGGGGGCAAAGGUGCGCGGGGCCGCGGGGUGCGUAUGAGUGAUGAAAACAACACACACACACACACAUACAUAUACACGGAACUUGAACGCGGGGCGCGGGGCGCAGGGCGCAGGGGGGUGCUUGUACUUGUUUGGUGGUGGAUAGUGGUGGGAAUGAUCAAAGCACCACCGUCUACCAUUUCCUUAGCUAGUCAUGAAUGUAAGCCCCCCCCCCACACACACACAUAUACACAUAUACACACACAUGCACAUACACGGCGGGUUUCGGCUAGUAAUGAACGUUGAACAAACUGCUCGACCGUUGUAAUCCCUCCCUCCCUCCCUCCCUCCCUCUGCCCCCUCCCCCUCCCCUGCAGGUGGUUCUUGUGGGCGACCCCCGUCAGCUGCCGCCCACGGUGCUGAGCCGCGCCGCCGCCGCCGCGCGCCUGAGCCAGUCGCUGUUCGAGCGGCUGCAGCGCGCGGGCGUGCCCGUCACGCUGCUCAGCAGGCAGUACCGCAUGCACCCGGCCAUCAGCAGGUGGGGAGGAGGAGGAGGCGGAUGUGUGUGUGUGUGUGUGUGUGUGUGUGUGUGUGUGUGUGUGUGUGUGUGUGUGUGUGUGUGUGUGUGUGUGUUAAAAAACGAAACGAAAGCCCGCCCAACGACGCGACGGAGUUACUUACCGAUACCUACCAAUUUACCGAGCGUCGCGUGGUUGCCGUGACCCAGGUAGUCAUACUUACCCGCGAUAAGCCUGGAACCCCACGGGCGACCAUUCGGCCUGACCCCGCGAUGCACCUGUAUGCGUCCAUGCUCCGCACCCUGGGCGCGCUAAACAACGUUUACCCAGCACGCCUAAUUCCCAGAUUCCCGCCCGCUGGUCGUAGUCGAGCUCACCUAUAGGCAAAAGCGGAAGCAUGGGCAUAGGGCGGCAGCGAGGAAGUGUCACGGGCAGGCGAAUGGCAAAGGCGACAAGAGAGGCGGCGUGCAGCAGACAAGCUAGAUAUCACGCGCCCCAAAUCCCGCCCGCUAAGUACAAUAACACUAUGGGAAGAGGGCGAGUUAGCGGUGGCACUGCGACUAAACGGGGUCAAGGCUGCAUGGGGGACGUGGCGGGCGGCGGUUGCAGCGUUUCCAGACGUGUCAGACACAGGCUGGUGUGUGUGCGUGUGUGCGAGUGUGCGUGUGUGCGCCGUGGGCUGGCGGGAGCUGGCCUCCCGCUCCCCACUCCACGGCGGCACCGAGGCUAGGCACGCUCGCGGCCGCAGUGGCCGCGUCGGCUAUUCGUGACGAGCCCCCGCCCCAGAAUCCAGUCACCCCCCUGAUAGUGAACACGCGCCGCGAUGUGUCGCGGGUGCAUGGUAGUGCCGCGCCGUACGCCUCGGCGACCGGGCCGUACUCCGUGACGAGGUCCGCCGUCCGUCAGAGCCACCAGAGUGUGUGUGUGUGUGUGUGUGUGUGUGUGUGUGUGUGUAUGUGUUAAAGAGCACAAGGAAAACAUUACGCGUAGGACAGUGUGUGUGUGUGUGUGUGCGUGUGUGUGUGUGUGUGUGUGUGUGUGUGUGUGUGUGUGUGUGUGUGUGUGUGUGUGACUACGGUUUCCACGGUUAUUCUGCCAGAUCACGUGAAUCGUGUAUCUGGUAUAACCAACGACAGGGCUCUCAAUCGAGGGCUGCCGUGACCUGGCGUUUCCCCGGCAGAGCGCAAAACAGCUCUGGAGUGUGUGUGUGUGUGUGUGUGUGUGUGUGUGUGUGUGUGUGUGUGUGUGUGUGUGUGUGUGUGUGUGUGUGUGUGUGUGUGUGUGUGUGUGUGUGUGUGUGUGUGUGUGUGUGUGUGUGUGUGUGUGUGUGUGUGUGUGUGUGUGUGUGUGUGUGUGUGUGUGUGUGUGUGCGGAGGUCGUUUGUACCCGUCCAAACUAAAUCGAACCUAAGGAAGCAAGGAGGAAGCGGGAACCGGGAAGUGGGUUAAUGUUGUACGGCUUGUGUUGUUGCCAACCCAUGUGUUGUGUGCCGGUACUGUGAGACCCUUCCCGCUGGCCGCCCCAAACCCCCUGUGCCUGAUUUCCACCGCCGCCGCCGAACUCAUCAUACUUGACAUCUCCUUCCACCUCCCUGCUCCCGGGCACAUAACCCCUCCCUCCCUCCUCCCCCACUUCCUCCCCCUCACCCCACCCCCGCCAAACAUCCUUGCAACCCCCGCCUGCUGUCUGCCUCGCUACACUUCUCUGUACCAAUCUUUGCAAAUCCACCCACCCCCUUCCUUUACUAAUCAUGUAAUUUACUAAUGUAUCCCACCCCCCAGGUUCCCCUCCUCCUUCUUCUACUCCAACGAGCUGCUGGACGGCGAGACAGUCAGCGCCGCCGCCCGCGCUGCGCCCUGCCACCACCACCCACUGCUGGGGCCGCUGGUGGUGUGGGACGUGGAGGGAGGCCGGGAGCGGGCCGGAGGCGGCGGCGGUGGCGGGGCCGGUGGUGGUGGUGGCGGAGGCGGGGGCUCGCUGCGAAACCAGGCCGAGGCCGAUUUCGUGGCAGACCUGUAUGUGGGUGAGUGCGGGGCGCGGGGCAAACACAAUAGAAUGCGUCGAUACCCGAACGGGGAACAGGGGACAGAGCUGGCGCACGAGAGGGCUGGCAGGGGGUUAUGGCAUCGUGCAGUUGCUGCUGCAUGGGCGCCUGGCUGCAACAGCGCCUGGCUGCAACAGCGCCUGGCUGCAACGGCAGGGUCCGGACUUCCCGCCAGCGCUACCGGCUCCGUAGAAAGCCAGCCGUGGCCCCUGUUCCGCCCUUCCCUGGGCCCGCAUCCCACCAACACCCACCCACUUACCAACACGCCUCCGCCCUACAGGCCUGCGGCAGCGCUAUCCGCACUGGCGGCCGCGUGUGGCGGUGCUGACGCCCUACCGCGCACAGCUGGGGGCGCUGCGGGCGGCGCUGAGGCACGCGCUGGGGGCGCUGGGCAGCGGCGGCGGCCCGGGCGGUGGCGGCGGCGGCGUUGGCUGUCGGGAGCUGGUGGAGGCGGAGGAGUCGGGUCUGUUAGACAUCAUGACCGUUGAUGGGUACCAGGUGGGGCGGCUGGGUCCGGCGGAUUUUGUUUGUGGGGGGUGUUGCUAUCGUCGUUCGUAGUAAGCCGUUCGAGGAGGGGAACAGGCGCGGUUUGGGUUGUUGUACGGAGUUCCAAGGGACUUUCCCACCGCUUCAUCCGCCGCUUCAUCCCGCCGUCUCCCACACACGUGCAGGGCCGAGAGGCGGACGUGGUCAUCUUCAGCGCCGUGCGCGCCAAGCCCAGCCACGCCCUCGCCCUGCUCAACUCCGCCGCCGCCUCCACCAACACCGCCGGUGACACCGCCGCCUCCGCUGCUGCCAGCAGCCUCUUCGACGCUGGCAUCAACAACAACAGCAACAGCGGGGUGGGGGGCGUGGGUUUCCUGGCGGACGUGCGUCGGAUGAAUGUGGCUCUUACGCGCGCCCGCGCCUGCCUGUGGGUGGUGGGGCACGCCGCCACGCUCGCCACCAGCCAUCCCUGGCGGGCGCUGCUGCGGCACGCGGCGGCGGCGGGCGGGCUGAUGCGCGCGCCGGGCAGCGGCGGAUACGGCGGUGAGCGUGUGUGCUUGUGUGUGUGUGCGCUGUGUGUGUGUGUGUGUGUGUGUGUGUUAGGAAACACGAGAGAGAUAGGGUGCGACGGUGUGUGUUUGUGUGCGUGUCUAUGCGGGCUGCGUGGGGGAACGGCCUGAUGGGGCUGGGAUGGGACUAGUGCUCGCGCACUUACUGCCUCUUUUACCUCGUUUCGCCAUGCAAACGUGCACUGUGCUCGCAUCGCGGCAUGUAGGCAGCAUCUCGCUUCGGCGGCUGCUGGCGGCGCCGCUUCCCUCAGAGGCCGCCGCCGCCUCCCAGGGCGGCGGCGGCGGCAGCGGGAGCCUCCGCAGCCGCAACAGUGGCGGUGGCGGCGGUGGCGGCGGCGACGGCGGAUGGUUGGCGGCAGAGGUGGCAGCGCUGGUUGUCAGUGAGCGGCAGCUGGAGGCCAAGGUGGCGGGCGGCAAUGCGGCGGCGGUGGCAGGCGACGCGGCGGCGAUGCCGCCGCCGCCAGCGAGGGCGCCGGCCGCCGCCGCGGCGGCGCGUGAGGCGGGACCUGGGGUCCGCAAGGACGGCGGCGGCAGCGGCAGGCCUGCGGCGCCGGAGGGAACAGUCGGGGCAAGGGUUCCAGCGGCCGCAGGGUUUGACACGCGGCCACGUGCGCCGGAGCGUCAGCGGUCGGCGGAGCGCGAUCCGUCGCCGCCGGCUGCGAGCGGCGUGGCUGCGUUGAACCAGCGCUUCGGCGUGUCCCGCGUGGCUCGCCCGCAGCAGCCGCAGGACGCCGCUGGCGACACGGCGGGCGCCGCGGCGGCCGCAGCCGGAGGCGACGGAGGAGCACCGGCGCCAGGCGGCAGCGCCAGGGGUGCCGGGGCCGCAGCUGCGGCAGCAGCCGCUGAGCGCGAUCGUGACAGAGGGGCGAGCAGGAAUCCGGAUGCCGGCGCCGCUGGCGGCAGCCACAAGCGGGCCCGCAGCCGCGAGCGGGCCGUACCUGCUGAGCGGGAUGCAGCUAUGAAGGACGCGGCGGCCGUUCAGCCGCGGGUGCAGCAUUCGGACAACGCACGAGACGCCGCCGGGGGUGUCACUGGAGGUGUCGGCCUCGAGCCCAGGAGCAGGGGGCCCAGUGCUGACGGCAGCAGCGGCGGCAACAGCGGCGGCGGCGGCGCUGAUGCGAAUGCAGCUGCCAAGGCGCAAGCCGCCACGUCCCAGACCCUGGGCUCGGCUGCAGCAGGGGAAAAGGCGCCGGGCUCAAGUGCUGGCGCCGGUGCGGACGGAGCGGGCCGAGGGCGUGACAGCGGCGGAGGCGCCAGCGGCAGCGGCCCCAGCGGCACCACCGUCGCCAAGCUGCCGCCCGCGAAGCCGCCUGCUGGCUCCGCAGCGCCCAGCGCGCCAGCCAUUGCAACCGCCAGCACCCGGCCUAGCAUCUCCGCAGGGCCCGGGGCCUUCACCGCAGCCGCCGGCGCCGCCGCGGCGGCCACGGCAAUGACAGCGCCGGCGUCUGCCGCGCCAGCCCUGGCGGCGCCGGCGGCAGCACAAGCAGCGCAAGCAGCUGCUGCUUCAGCAGCCAAGCGGAAGCGGGGCGAUGCCGACGGCGAGGGAGCCGGGCGGGAGGUGCGGCGGGCACUGGGCCCAGGAAAUUCCCCCGCCAGUUCAAGCAGAGGAGGAGGCGAGGAGCGCGCCGGUCCCGGGCUGUCGCUGCCGGUGGCGGGCGCAGCCGCUGGCGCGGCGCAGCCACCAACCGCACGCGAGCGGGCCAUAGCGGCCGCCAAGGCGCAGGCGGCGGCGACAGCUGCCAGCGCUGCCAGCGCUGCUCCCGGUGCGGCGGCUGCAGCGGUGCACCGCCGGCCCGGUAGCAGCGGCGGCGGCGGGGCGGCAGCCACCACGGGCGCGGGCGCCGCCGGUGCCAAGCCACCCAGUGGCGCCAGUGGCUCUGCACCGGGAGCCGCCGCACGCGCCCCAUCACCGCCGCUGCGGCCCGUCGCCCGCUCCUACGCCGUCUUGCCGCCGCUGCGCCCAAACAGCAGUGGCGACCUGGCUGCUGCUGCGGCGCCCGCCGGCGCUGCCGCAGGCCUGAGUGCGGUGGCGCUUGCAGCCAGGCCGCCGGCACCAGCCGCCACGGGCGCGGGUAGCAGGCGCAGCGGCGGCGGUAGCGGCAGCGGCGGCGCCGGGGCCGCAGCUGCACCCGCCACAGCCGCAGCGCAUCGCGGCGCCCCUGCCCCGCCUGCCGCCACACGCGCACAGGAGGGGGAGCUGCCGGCGCGCGGCUGGGACGAAGCCAGGGCCAAAGCACGCCCACCCCCGCCGCCGCCGCCGGCCCCGCCACGCCCGCACCCAGGCUCGCCCAAGCGAGCGCCACCCCCGCCCCCGCGAGCACCGCCUGCGCCUCCUCCGCUUCCGCCUUCCCCACCACCGCCGCUGCCGUCGCAGCCGCCGCCACCAUCGCAGCCGCCGCUGCCAUCCCAAGACCCGCCGCCGCUGCCACAGUCACAAGGGCCUGCGGCCGUGUUGGCGCGUCCCGGAACGGGAGGUGCGGCGCCACGCCACGGCCGGGCGUUGGCAGAGCCGCCGGAGCCUGGUGAGCUCAGGCCGUCAGAAAGGGACCGACAGCCGCCGGCAGGCAGGGAGCGAAUGCGUGAGCGAGAACGGGGUCGAGAGCAGGAGUGGGAGCGGGGGCGGCAGGGGAGUCUUGAGCCUGAGCGUGUGUUGGUGCGGCGGCCAAGCCUGGAGCCGGAGAGGCAGCGGGAGGGCUGGGCAGGGCCGGCGGAACGGGGUCGGACCCAGUCUCCGCUGCCGCGGGACUGGCCGCGUGAGCAGGACCGGAACUGGGAGCGGGACCGAGACCGGGACCGGAACUGGGAGCGGGACCGAGACCGGGACCGGAACUGGGAGCGGGAGCGGGAGCGGGAGCGGGAGCGGGAGCGGGAGCGCGAGCGGGAGCGCUACCUGCAGCGUGGCGGAGACCGCAGUCAUGACAGGCCGCUCGGCGGCGAGGAGGGCGGCCGUGACAGGGACUGGGACCGCGACAGGCGGCCUCGACCUCCACCUCCUGACAGGGAGCGGGAGUGGGAGCGCGGGCGGGCACAGGGAAGCCCGGAGCGUGGCGGCUGGGCUGACCGACCCAGGACAGAUUCUCGGGACAGGAUUGGACGUUAGCAGUAGGGCAUGUGGGGGCAAGAAUCCUAUGAUAAAACUUUUGCUUCGGACACAGCAGCUGUAGGCGUCGCAUUGACAACGGGUCACGAAGUACGAUGGUACGGUAUUGCUUGACGCAGGAUUCAGAACUUCAGAAGAAAAGUCUUUACACCGCAAAGCGGGCCUAAUGCUGUCAUUGCGUUUAAUUCAACCUGUUGGCUAAACACAGUGAACACGCACACGGUUGUGUGCAUACGCGUCCUGGCGACUUUGGGGACAAGCGCGUCUGUGUGUCGUGCCGUCCUUUUGGUGUGCACUUGUGGCAGUAAUCAUCAAGCACGAUUGCCGUAGUAUGUGGUGCAGCUGGUAGGCCGGUGGGUAGGCAGAUGAUAGGCUCUAGUGCAGUCUUGACGUGGCAAGCAGCGCAGGCUAGAAAGCAGCUCAGGCAGGGUGCGGUUGCAGGCAGGGGCAGGGGCAGGGUGAGCAUUGCUGCGGGCAACCCGAACUUGACCGAAAUCCUGGGACUAGGAGCCUGGGUCUGGGACCGGGAUGCAAGACAAGCAUCCACGGAAAGCACGGGGGGACGUGCGCCGGUGCAGGGGAUUCGCACGCGCCUGGCACGGGGUAUCGUGCUGAAGUUUGAUUGAAGCAAUUCAUGUAAGAGAAAUGUAAGCUAGUGCGCAUGCAAAUGCAAGACGCCGCCGAGUGCCGCCGCUGUAAGGCAGGGCAAGGAAUCGAGUCCGUUCGAGUAGUCGAUUAUUGACGGGAUGCACCUACUGGCAGUUUGUCAUGGACAAGGGGUGUCAGCUUUGUACAGCUGGAAAAUGGGCUGAGCCCCCGUACGCUUGGGAGCUAAUAGGCGUGAACGCCCCGUCAGAGCCGCCAUGCCGCUACGAGGGACACUCGGGUUGGGGCCGACGGGAUUUCCCGCGCCACGCAUGCGUGCCUUGUCACGUUCCGAAACACCCCACGCAUUUCUUUCGCCUCCUGCCAUACUCAACACCUCCCCGGCGCCCCACGCUCAAAGGGCUAGGCGCGGGGCGGGGGCGACCUCGGGGCUUCUCGGCAUUCUGGCGCGUCGGCAGGCAUGACUCAGCAAGUCGCUCAAAACUUUCGAUAUACUUCCCCGCAUUGCAUGCCGCCAACAUAGUUUGCCAUAGAGACUGCAUAUCAUCGGGCACUGGAUGCUUUCCUCGCGACCUUGCGAAAGUCAAUUGUCCAUGGACGCGAGAAGGCACUUCUCGCUCCGCCCAAAUUUUCCCUGCCACCUAUUUACAUGCAAUAGGCAUUAACAAAUACUAAUACGCCAUUCCACGCUGCCAUUCCACCCGCUGGCUGUCAUACAAAGCAGGCUCUCACAGCAGGCUCUCCAGCUCCAGCCAGGUGCCAUCCGCCUCGUUGCCCACGCCCAGGUAGCCGCCUGGUGCCACCUUCUCGAAGUGCCAGUGCGUCUUGGGCCAGCGCUUGAAGAAGCCCGGCAUCACGACGAGCGUGCCCAAGACGCAGGUGUCGAAGGCCUUGGGGCAUACCGUACUGCCACGCUCAAUUGGUGAUUUCAUAAUUGGUGACAGUAAGAAAUCGCCUUGGAAUUAAACAGGCUGACACAGACUUUGGUGAUGGGCCCUGGCAGAAGCCAGGCCGCAUUAAACCCGUGUCACAGAAUUUGGUGAUGGGACCCCCAGGAGGGUGGGAGGGAUGUCUGGGCGAGCCAUCCAGGGCAUCGGGGUCGGAGACGCAUCCAGCCGGCGCGGGCAUCCAGCAGUGCUGGGCCACAUAACCUGCCUACCUGGGGGCGACCCGACCGGGGUAUGCGACAGUGCCCGCCCGGCCAUCCAACAGUUCCGGGCCGACCCGACCCAGCCAUCCACGCAUUGGUCGCCGGCUCAUCCCGCAUCCCUGGGCCAACCCCAGCACAGACAUCCAGCAGACGCGAGCCCACCCGUGCACACAUCACGUUUCCUGACUUGGAAAGCUGUUUGGGGAAAAGCCAAAUCCAUAGGAAGAAAAGCUCCUCCCUCUGGGCGUGGAACAUGCUGGGGGCGUGCUGGUCGACACGGCCUGACAUGGCGAACCCGCCAAACCUCUUUUCGGCUUAAUCUGUUUCAUAAUCAUAUAAGCGUGUAGGUUAUUCUUCGUAAGCUGCUGUUUGUCUGCUGGAAGCUGAAGCCAUACAGCAGAUCAACAAGCAACUGUCGUCUUUCUAGCACCAAUUCCUGGUUCCACGAGCAUGGGAUAUAGAAAACAGCAGGAAUAGUCAAGCCCGUCCUUUGAGGCGCCCAGAAGCGGCCAGCGAGCCGGACGAACCACUGGUUCGCUUCGGCCAUCUCGGGUGCCCCGGCCCCUUCUCGUCACAGUCUAUGCCCACACCAAUGAACACAACCUAUUACAUGUGCACAGUUCAUCGGGGUAAACUAAAGCGAACGCUGGACGUCUUCCGCAGAGACAGCAUUUCGGGGUUUAGCGUUGAGCUAUAAACGGCCGCUAUAGCGUGAACAUAGCUCAUUAUAGUAUUGAUGCUAAGGCGUAACGAAGGUGUUGAAUUCUGAGGGCAUGACAUGAAAGCACAAAAACACGCUGUUCGAAGCGGCUCUACCCCUGCAAUACCCAUGGCAUACCCCCCCGCUCCUCCCUGGUCCGCGGCGCAGUCAUAACAGCACGCCGCGUGUAACGUGCAGAGCCAUUCAACAGUGCUGGGGUGACCCCGACCCAGCCAUCCAGCAGUCCCCGCCGGGCCAUCCAGCAUUCCCGGGUCGGCCCGACCGGGCCAUCCAACAGUCCCCGCCGAGCCAUCCGGUUGUCCCGCCCAGGCAUCCAGCAGUGCUGGGCCGGCCCGCUAGGGAACUGCAACAGUGCUUGGAAACGGGUAGUCCCAACCACUCAAAAAC
rnacentral:lncRNA from 1 species